CUGGGCUGCCAUACCCUUUGUUUGCUUUUAAAAAUAAUUUCAAUUUCCUGUUACGAGACCAUAAUCGUUUCAGCGAACUAAUUUAUUACCACAAAACUUAGGAUUAGCUCAAAAUCAACGCUGUAUAUGCACCAAGCAUUCCUUGUAAUCUGGCUACACCUUUGUUAGCGAAUGAUGCCAACAAGCGCGGUGAUUUUUCUUCUUUGUGGACAGCAACUUUAAGUAAUUUUGGUACAUUUGCAAUUAAAAAACAUCUAGGAGUAUUAAAGAACAGAAAAUUGCUUAAAACUUUUGGAAAAUUGAACUGCGGUGGUUGCAUUUUCAGUGGAGGGAGCAGGCAGAUGAGAAACUUUUCAUUCUGUAAAACAAAUUU